UUAUAUUUCCAUUUCCAUUCUCUAGGAAAUUUACCUAAUUCUUGAAUAGACUUCCUACUGUACUUUUACGAACAAAGCUUCCACUGAACCCUCUGUCUUUGUUCCAGAAACAAACUAUUGUCCCUGUCUUUCCACUUCUGGUUUUAUACAAUUUAUAUCAUUCUUGGGGAUCUUUUGCCACCUAUUUACGUAUGUUCCACCACAUCAUUAUUACAUUUAAACCGUCGCAUCAUAUUCUAAUGCAUGUUCUCGAAAG
rnacentral:lncRNA from 1 species